rnacentral:rRNA from 1 species
GACGAACCGUCCUAACGUUGUUCGGAAUCACUGGGCUUAAAGGGCGCGUAGGCGGCCCCGUCAGUCGGGGGUGAAAUCCCACGGCCCAACCGUGGAAGUGCCUCCGAUACUGCGGGCUCGAGGGGGUAGGGCAGCGGGAACUCCGGUGGAGCGGUGAAAUGCGUUGAGUAUCGGAAGGAACGCCGGCGGCGAAAGCGCGCUGCUGGACCCUCGUCUGACGCUGAGGCGCGAAAGCCAGGGAGCAAACGGG